UUUUUUUUUUAGAAAAAGAAAACAAAAAAAAAACAAAACAGCCUGUUCAAACAAUCGCUGUCAACAAAAGAUUCUGGGGAGUGGGAGGAGGGAACCUUGACCAUCUUCUUUCUAAAAUCAGUUCCUCACAGCCAGUUCCUCUUGCAGGAUGAGUCCUUUGCAUCUGAUCAGAGUCAUUUUUGUAAUGAGCAGGUUUUCCUGGCUUUCUUUUCAAAUAAAAUGUUAAAAGCAGCAGUGUUUGGACAGCAGAUUGUUCUGUUAAACUUUCCUAUCUUCUCACUGUAUCCAGAAAUGCUCCUUCCUAGCAGCAGUAGUAGCUUUUCUCCAUUUUGUUUUUUCUGCAACAUUCUGUACAAAAAUGUGCUGUAAUUGUGCGUUAGGCCUGGAUUUGGCAUAAAAGAUGAAUUCCCUCUUACUCUCUUUCAUGAAACUACUCUGUAGAGCUUUCUCCACGCCCUGUAUCCCUCUUCACCUUUUGUAUUUAAUUUUAAAGUCAGUGUACUUCAAGAAAGCUGGAUGCAAGAUAGAUACUAUAUUAAAAUGUAAUGUUAUUUAAGAUGUAAUAAAGCAGUUUGACAUGAGUUUUGACUGAUCUGUUUUGCAGCUUAUUGUUCAACCCACAAAACAGCUUCUGUGGCAGGAUUGGAGUUGUGAAAUUAAAACGUGCAAGAGGAGGGAAUGAUGUCCCCAAGCAAAUGGUCUGGUGUUUUUAGAUGGCUUGGAUUGUUAAUGGUUCGUGCAGGAAGAGAGUUGAGUGGAAAUCUUGUGUUAUUGCCCUGUGAGGACCUGGCCCCAGCAGCUCAGUUGUCCUUGCUGUAGGUGUUGAGCAGGGUAAGUCAGUGCCAUUUUCAUGCUCAGUAAGAACAAACUCCCCACAGGGCAGAAUUUUAUCUAAAAUAAUUCUUUUAAGGAAGGAUUUCAUACCCAGAGGAGCAGGUUCCUGACACGAGGUGUUGAAAAGCGGUUGGUUUAACAGCGUGGCAUCGGUCAACUUGAGGGGUUUGUUUUGCAUUUUCAGUGAGGAAAGUCUCCUGUUCUGACCCAAACAAAAGUGUAUUUUCCCUCCUUUUGCAUCGACCAAGAGAAAUUCCAGUGCCAUGGCUUGGUUUCAUACCAAACAUGGAAAUUCUCAGCCCCAGUGGAGAAGCUUUGAAAAGCUGUGGGUAUGGAAAAUAUGAUGGUGACAUGACUUAACCAGCAGCCAUGGACUGCCAGCCUUGGGCCUUUGGACUCCACACACUGAGUCUGCCUGUGAUUUAAACGUGGAUUCCUUGUGGGUCUGAGCUGGAUUUACACUCCACUGUGUCAUAAUUCUGAAGUAUGUGAAAAGUUGAGUUUGUUCUGUGUUGGGGCUGUAGGAGAAAGUUUGGAAAAAUUAAACCAUAGAUUUCAGUUUCACUCUUGUAGAAAGGGGAAGGCUUAGUGCAUUCCCUGUCCCUCCUGCCCCAAAUGGCCCUGUCCCGUGGGAA